GAUGAACGCUGGCGGCGUGCCUAAUACAUGCAAGUCGAGCGAACGGACGAGAAGCUUGCUUUUCUGAUGUUAGCGGCGGACGGGUGAGUAACACGUGGAUAACCUACCUAUAAGACUGGGAUAACUUCGGGAAACCGGAGCUAAUACCGGAUAAUAUUUUGAACCGCAUGGUUCAAAAGUGAAAGACGGUCUUGCUGUCACUUAUAGAUGGAUCCGCGCUGCAUUAGCUAGUUGGUAAGGUAACGGCUUACCAAGGCAACGAUGCAUAGCCGACCUGAGAGGGUGAUCGGCCACGCUGGAACUGAGACACGGUCCAGACUCCUACGGGAGGCAGCAGUAGGGAAUCUUCCGUAAUGGGCGAAAGCCUGACGGAGCAACGCCGCGUGAGUGAUGAAGGUCUUCGGAUCGUAAAACUCUGUUAUUAGGGAAGAACAUAUGUGUAAGUAACUGUGCACAUCUUGACGGUACCUAAUCAGAAAGCCACGGCUAACUACGUG
rnacentral:rRNA from 1 species